UGGGGAAUCUUCCGCAAUGGACGAAAGUCUGACGGAGCAACGCCGCGUGAGUGAUGAAGGUUUUCGGAUUGUAAAGCUCUGUUAAUCGGGACGAAUGGUUUCUAUGUAAAUAAUGUAGAGAUUUGACGGUACCGGAAUAGAAAGCCACGGCUAACUACGUGCCAGCAGCCGCGGUAAUACGUAGGUGGCAAGCGUUGUCCGGAAUUAUUGGGCGUAAAGCGCGCGCAGGCGGAUUUGUCAGUCUGUCUUAAAAGUUCGGGGCUUAACCCCGUGAGGGGAUGGAAACUACAAAUCUAGAGUAUCGGAGAGGAAAGUGGAAUUCCUAGUGUAGCGGUGAAAUGCGUAGAUAUUAGGAAGAACACCGGUGGCGAAGGCGACUUUCUGGACGAAAACUGACGCUGAGGCGCGAAAGCCAGGGGAGCGAACGGG
rnacentral:rRNA from 1 species